CUGUAGUAUGAAAGAAGAGACGUUUAGCACUCCCCUAUAUAGACAAGAACGGAACAACACAUAUAAUGGUGAGAGCACAAUUACCACCCUUUUUUU